GAUCCUGUGCUCCCUGGGAGGUGUAUCCUGUGCUUCCUGGGAGGUGUGAUAUCGUGGUUCCUGGGAGGUGUGAUCCUGUGGUUCCUGGGAGGUGUGAUCCUGUGCUUCCUGGGAGGUGUGAUAUUGUCUUCCUAGGAGGUGUGAUC
rnacentral:miRNA from 1 species